CUUCCCUGUUAUACGGCUGAGACUUAACUCCGUUUGUUGUUAAGAGCCACAGGACAGAUGAAUAAAGACAAAUAGAUUCAACUUUUUUGUAUUUUUAGUACUUUUUCUGACACACUUUUCCUCCUGUGGAUUUUAACCCCUCAGGGUCACCAUGGUAAACCACAACCCACCCAGGAUUAUACUGAUGUUUGUCGGAUUAUUUACCUUAUUUCCUGCAAUUACUUUAAACUUUCUUUCAGGCUUUGGAAAUUAUUCAGGUGUCUUCAGGCAGCGUACAGAAGAUGUCUCUCUCAAGUAUAUGACAUCUGUAACUCCUGCUCAGUGGACGUUUUUCGUGUGGGAUUUCAUUUACUUUUGGUUUUUUGCCAUGUUUGUGUACUUGUUGGCUGGACUUUGUAGAAGGAGUACAUAUGAGUGGAUGUAUACCACACCUGCAGUGUUGCCUUAUGGGUUUCAUGUCAGCAUCAUCAUUUACCUUAGCUUGAACAUCACCUGGCUCUUUCUGUAUGACAGAGAGAUGCUGCUCCCAGUGCUCAUAACUGCAGCUCUAAUGACACUAACUGAUUACAUGACGCUAUUUUUCUCCUGCCAUGGGCUAAAGAUUUAUGGUGCCUGGCUGAGCAAACAUCGCAACGCAGACCUCUGGAUGUUCAGGAUAUUGGUGCAAAAUGGAGUGGCAGUGUAUGCCACUUGGGGAACACUCUCCACUUUGCUGAACCUGACAAUCUACUUGCAGCAUCAGACGGAAGCAUCUCGAUAUCACUGCACAAUGUUGUCACUGCUGCUGCUCCUGAUGGAGCUGUUAGUGUGGUUUCUGUUGGAGAACUUCUAUCUUGAUAAGCACCUACGCUAUACUGUGACCAUAUACCCUGUAGUUAUCCUGUGGCUGACAGGCAUCCUAGACAACAAUGCAUCCCCUGGUACCAAUUUGUACAUCCUUGAAGUUUUGAUCCUGGUGAUUGCCUGUGUCCUGCUUGUUGUUCUCAUCAUCCUGGUGGCGUGGAGGCAUCACAAACAACCUCUUUACACAGACAAUGAACUCAGUUUGACUCCAGUGGAAAUAUCGUUGUCACAACCCAAUCUUUUCCUAUGAAUACUUUCCUGUGAUGAUGAUAAAAUAUUACAUGUACAUAGAAAGAAGAAUUUUUACAUCAUGAAUGCUUAAGAUGUCAUUCCACUUUCUUAAGAAAACUUGAAACAUCAUGCAUACCUUAGACUGCCGGAGAUAGACACCAGUCUCCCUGCAAAACUGAAAGAAUAAGCAGAUUUGGACAAUGGAAGGAUGUAUACCUCUUGGAAAAGUGUUGUACAGUGUUGUUUGUUUAUAAAUGACAACAACAAUAUAACUUUUGAAUACACUGGAAGAACUUAUGGGAAAUAAAUUACAAUACAUUGAGGAGUGGAGUGUACUCUGCAAGCAUGCUUUUUUGCAACAGUUAAAAAAUUGAAGCUACAAGUGGCAUCACCAAGUCAUCAUAAUGAAACAGGGUUUCUACUGAUUUUCUUGCUCUGUUUCAUGUCUAUGAAAUAUUUUCUAUCUGUGCUGUUCAGUGGAGUUUACUGAACAGCACUAGGGACCAUGUGUUCUCAGAUCAGACUAAAAUAUUGAUUGGCACUGCCAUUUUCUGCAGUGAGGACCCUGUGUGUGACACAAUUAGGGUAAAGGACAAAAAGCCAAGUUAUUUACACAAUAACCUGGAACUAACAUAGUUCUACGUGAUACACAUUCCAUAUUGUAUGUUCUAUGUCAAAAAAUAGCAAUAUCCACUAAAAUUAGAAUAUGAAAGAAAAACAAAACAUGCAUUUUUAAUAAAUAAAACUCUAUAUUGUCCACUUAAGCUAGUUUUCAACCUAAAUUCCAAAAAAUGUCUUGAUUUUUGUCACCUACGUCCAUAAGGGAUUUUAUUUUUGGUCAUGGAACAUAAUAUAUGUAUAUCCUUGAAUUUUCAUUUUGCCCACAGGUUGCAUUAACAUUGUUAAUACAAAUAAAAUUCAUAGGUGAAAAUCAUUGAACUUGCUUAGGAAAACCUCUGAAGAUAAAAUCCAGAUAACUAUAUAGUUUUGUAAUGAUUUAAUCACCAGAGGAAGCAUACACUGUGUCAUUACACUCCAUGUGGGUUCAGAACUUCUGUAAACAAAAAGUGACAUGUAGGUUUAAAGUCAAGAACCUGAAGUGCUUCAUUGACAGCUGAGAGCAAGCCAUAUUUCAUAAGAUCAUAGAAGACAUGUACAUGAGUGAAAAGGCACAGCUAAUAAUUUUGACACUAUUAAACUUUAUUCUUGCUGGGAGUUAAAUGUAUGGCUAAGAGAACAAUAAGUUGUUAGAGGUGUUUUUAUUAAUUUUGUAAUAAAUGUUUAAUUAAAAAUAACUAUAUUUUUUCUCCUUGGAGAAAUUAUAUUUAUGGAUCCAGUAGUUGGACUCAAUAACCAAGCUGUUACAACAUGUCAUGGAAAAGUAAUCAGAGCAAGAUCAUAAAAUUUCUCAGCAAAAGCCAAGUUCCAAAGUCCCAUGAACAAGAUAAUAGUACUAAUGCGUUGUCUUCAGAAUCUCCCCGCUGAAGUCGAUCGUACAACGACUUCCAUUAUGUUUCCCCGGAUGGAAAAUACUGGUUUCCAUUUAGCGAUGCAUGCUGGCAGCAUCGUUCUUGCAAUCAUCACUCAGAUAAUCUCAGAAGUCUUUUUUUACCUGGCGAAGGAAGACAAAGUGCCCAAUGCUGUUUUUCAGACUUCAUCCUGGAAUGUGUCCAAGACUUUCUCCCUAGAGUUGACGAUGGACUCGUGGUCUGAGAACUUCUGGAUCUGGAUUGAUCUGUGGUCUAAAAUGUGGCUUGUUUAUGCAGCUGUGAGCCUCUUCAGAAGAAAUGUACUCGGCCCCCAGUCGUGCAAUCCUGAAAUCCACCCUCCCAAAUUCUUUCUGAUGUGGACUAUCAUAAAUAUUACAAGAGUGUGUAGCAUGCCUAUGUGGGAUAGACACUAUAUCCUACCAGCAGUGUUGUCUAGGUGGAUUUUACCACUUCACAGCUUCUACAUGCUUUUCCUUUCCUACUCCAACCUGAACAAGCAUAAAGCCUGGCUGGCAAUCAACAACCCUGGUGUGAUUCCAUGGACACGUUAUCUGACACAGAAUGGAUUAGCUGUGUUUGCCUGGUGGUCUCUCUUUCAUUCUGUGGUGGGCUUUGGCAUAGUGCUUAAAUAUUAUGCCGGUGUGCAGGACCGAGUGGCCAGUGCCACUGUCCUUUUCAUCAUCUCCGUGUUCAUUAUUACAUGGUUCAUCCUUCAGAACUUCUUCUUGGUCAAGUACAUGUGGCAUACAUUCAGCAUUUAUGCCAUCCUCAUUCUGGGACUGGGUGCAAUGUUCACCAGCAGCUACUCUGUCCAGAAUUUUUCCAUAAACACCGCCUUCUGUGGAGUCCUUAUGCUUCUGAUAACCAUCAUGAGCUUCAUCCAUUUGAUCUCUGCAUGUCUGGAGAAGUCCCACAAGCCUGUUGCUGCAGAGCUGAGACUUGAAGGCUGUGAGACCGUGUGCAAACCAGAAGGGAAUAUUAAAGCCAAACUAGAGAACUGAGUUGAAUUGCAAAAAAAAGAGACCAUCAUCUGAUAAAUAGAUUUAUUUAAAACAACACAAUAAUUCAUUCCGUUGUGUCUGAACAAACCUUGUGUACUGACCUCAUUCGCUGAAAAUUUUUAAGUGUGUGGUAUACAUCAUUCACCAAAAGGUGGCAGCAAACGCUUAGAUUAAAGUUGAGAAAUUUAAACUGGAGCUGCACCAGGAGAUGGCACAAUGAUGCAAGUCUUGCAUUUAACAUGCAUAAGGAAAAACUGUUUUUAAAUUAAAAGAAUCAAUACUGGCCUUCUACAGAUGUUAAUUUUAUUGACCUCUGUGGCUUGAAUUGUGCUGCAUUGUAAACUCUCAAAAUAAACGAAGAGUAAAGCUUAAAA